CCAGCCCAGUGUGUCUCUAACCCUGCCUUUGUCCCCAGCCCCCCGUGGCUGACCAGGUGGAGCUGAUGCGCCAGUGACGCUCGGCUGCCUCUCUGCAUGUCCAGGACUGGAAGUGGUGGUGACACCCGUGUCCUGGCCCCCUCCAGCGGCAUGAGGAGAUGAUCAUCCCUGGAGGACCCCCCUGAUCCCCUGAGUGCCCUGGCAAUUUCCCUGCAAGAAUCAAUAAACCCCUGCAGCAAAACAAA